GUCUGUAAACAAGUCAGGAUGGCACCUGGCAUUUUGCCAGAGAAAUGUUAGAGUCUGUAAACAAGUCUGGAUGGCGCCUGGCAAAAUGCCAGAGGGAGUGGUUUGUGAAGUAACUCCAGUGAGCCAUUAAGUGUGGAGAUUCCUUAUUGGUUGACUGCUGUAUCUAGUUUAUGCUAAUUAAGAUAAGCUGUGUGGAAUGUAUAAAUACCUCUGUUGUCCUACAAUAAAGGGCUUCCACUCCUGCUGUAUCAAUGUACCCAAGUUGUUCGUCACCCCCUGCUAUUUUGCUGCAGCCGGACUGCGGCAGAUGGUGGCCCGUUACAGGGAGCCCCGGGACACUCGGGGGAUUUUCUUUAGCCAUCCGGAGUUCCUGCCUUUGUCCCAGUGCCGGUGAAAACGAAAGUGGAAGAAUUUCCAGUGUUGCUGAAAACCUGAGGAGACUUCGGAUCAAGCUAGCUGCCUGCAGAACUUACCUGGACUGUGAUUUACCUGGACUGUGAGUUAAUCUAUUGAGACACUGCUUUACCUGGACUGAGACAACAAACUGUAAUCUACAACAAAUUGUAACUCGGUAUCUUUGCAAAUGGUGUCAUUGCUGGUAUAAUUUUUCCAAGGGCUUCUUGCAUGGAGCCAUCAAUUGGCUUGGUAUUGUGACAUUUUGUAUCCUCCCCUUCUGCUCAUAGCAGAUUAUUUGUGGUGUUUAUGUAAAAACCACUAUUGUGGUUAUUUAAAUUAAACAAAAGGGGGAAAUGUUAGAGUCUGUAAACAAGUCAGGAUGGCGCCUGGCAUUUUGCCAGAGAAAUGUUAGAGUCUGUAAACAAGUCUGGAUGGCACCUGGCAAAAUGCCAGAGGGAGUGGUUUGUGAAGUAACUCCAGUGAGCCAUUAAGUGUGGAGAUUCCUUAUUGGUUGACUGCUGUAUCUAGUUUAUGCUAAUUAAGAUAAGCUGUGUGGAAUGUAUAAAUACCUCUGUUGUCCUACAAUAAAGGGCUUCCACUCUUGCUGUA